AUUGAACGCUGGCGGCAGGCCUAACACAUGCAAGUCGAACGGUAACAGGAAGAAGCUUGCUUCUUUGCUGACGAGUGGCGGACGGGUGAGUAAUGUCUGGGAAACUGCCUGAUGGAGGGGGAUAACUACUGGAAACGGUAGCUAAUACCGCAUAACGUCGCAAGACCAAAGAGGGGGACCUUCAGGCCUCUUGCCAUCGGAUGUGCCCAGAUGGUAUUAGACAGUAGGUGGGGUAACGGCUCACCUAGGCGACGAUCCCUAGCUGGUCUGAGAGGAUGACCAGCCACACUGGAACUGAGACACGGUCCAGACUCCUACGGGAGGCAGCAGUGGGGAAUAUUGCACAAUGGGCGCAAGCCUGAUGCAGCCAUGCCGCGUGUAUGAAGAAGGCCUUCGGGUUGUAAAGUACUUUCAGCGGGGAGGAAGGGAGUAAAGUUAAUACCUUUGCUCAUUGACGUUACCCGCAGAAGAAGCACCGGCUAACUCCGUG
rnacentral:rRNA from 1 species